rnacentral:rRNA from 1 species
GGACUACCAGGGUAUCUAAUCCUGUUUGAUCCCCACGCUUUCGUGCCUCAGUGUCAAUCAUACCAUAGUAAGCUGCCUUCGCAAUCGGUGUUCUGUGACAUAUCUAUGCAUUUCACCGCUACUUGUCACAUUCCGCCUACCUCUAGUACAUUCAAGCUCAUCAGUAUCAAGGGCACUGCGACAGUUAAGCUGCCGUCUUUCACCCCUGACUUAAUAAGCCACCUACGCACCCUUUAAACCCAAUAAAUCCGGAUAACGCUCGGAUCCUCCGUAUUACCGCGGCUGCUGGCAC